UCAGGUUGUAUGUACUUUAGCCGUAAAUUGAUAAACAAGGCAUUUCAGGAAGGCGAGUGUUACAUAUUUGCGAUUUUUCGGAUUCAUACAAGAUAAUUGUCAUUUAGGGGCAACAACUUCGUCUCAGGUUCUAUAUAUUUACCGUAAAAUUGAUAAACGAGGCAUUUAAAAUUGACGAGUGUCUCAUAUAUUUGCGAUUUUUCGAAUUGACACAGGAUAGCUGUACUUUAGAGUCAACAAUUUCGUUUCGGGUUCUUAUAUUUUAGUCCUAAAAUUUAUAAACAAGGCAUUUAAAAGAGACGAGUGUUACAUAUUUGCGAUUUUUCAUAUUGAUACAAGAUAAUUGUCAUUUAGGGGCAACAACCUCGUCUCAGGUUCUAUGUAUUUUAGCCGUAAAAAUGGUAAGCGAGGCAUAUAAAAUGAACGAGUGUCUCAUAUUUUUGCGAUUUUUCGAAUUGACACAGGUAAAAUUGACGAGUGUCUCAUAUAUUUACGAUUUUUCGUUUUGAAACAAGAUAAUUGUCAUUUAGGGGCAACAACUUCGUCUCAGGUUGUAUGUACUUUAGCCGUAAAUUGAUAAACAAGGCAUUUCAGGAAGGCGAGUGUUACAUAUUUGCGAUUUUUCGGAUUCAUACAAGAUAAUUGUCAUUUAGGGGCAACAACUUCGUCUCAGGUUCUAUAUAUUUACCGUAAAAUUGAUAAACGAGGCAUUUAAAAUUGACGAGUGUCUCAUAUAUUUGCGAUUUUUCGAAUUGACACAGGAUAGCUGUACUUUAGAGUCAACAAUUUCGUUUCGGGUUCUUAUAUUUUAGUCCUAAAAUUUAUAAACAAGGCAUUUAAAAGAGACGAGUGUUACAUAUUUGCGAUUUUUCAUAUUGAUACAAGAUAAUUGUCAUUUAGGGGCAACAACCUCGUCUCAGGUUCUAUGUAUUUUAGCCGUAAAAAUGGUAAGCGAGGCAUAUAAAAUGAACGAGUGUCUCAUAUUUUUGCGAUUUUUCGAAUUGACACAGGUAAAAUUGACGAGUGUCUCAUAUAUUUACGAUUUUUCGUUUUGAAACAAGAUAAUUGUCAUUUAGGGGCAACAACUUCGUCUCAGGUUCUAUGUACUUUAGCCGUAAAAUUGAUAAACAAGGCAUUUCAGAAAGGCGAGUGUUACAUAUUUGCGAUUUUUCGGAUUCAUACAAGAUAAUUGUCAUUUAGGGGCAACAACUUCGUCUCAGGUUCUAUAUAUUUUAGCCGUAAAAUUGAUGAAGGAGGCAUUUGAAUUUGGCGAGUGUCUCAUAUAUUUGCGAUUU